GAUGAACGCUGGCGGCGUGCCUAAUACAUGCAAGUCGAGCGAACAGAUAAGGAGCUUGCUCCUUUGACGUUAGCGGCGGACGGGUGAGUAACACGUGGGUAACCUACCUAUAAGACUGGAAAAACUCCGGGAAACCGGGGCUAAUGCCGGAUAACAUUUAGAACCGCAUGGUUCUAAAGUGAAAGAUGGUUUUGCUAUCACUUAUAGAUGGACCCGCGCCGUAUUAGCUAGUUGGUAAGGUAACGGCUUACCAAGGCAACGAUACGUAGCCGACCUGAGAGGGUGAUCGGCCACACUGGAACUGAGACACGGUCCAGACUCCUACGGGAGGCAGCAGUAGGGAAUCUUCCGCAAUGGGCGAAAGCCUGACGGAGCAACGCCGCGUGAGUGAUGAAGGUCUUCGGAUCGUAAAACUCUGUUAUUAGGGAAGAACAAAUGUGUAAGUAACUGUGCACGUCUUGACGGUACCUAAUCAGAAAGCCACGGCUAACUACGUG
rnacentral:rRNA from 1 species